UGGCAUAAAAAUAAACUUGGCUGCAUGUUUAAAGACAAACAGCGCUAGUACAGAGCAUGUAUUUAACUGUACAAGGGUUUGUUUGUGUUUGAUCACGUGGCUUGUUUGCGCCUUCUAAUAUA
rnacentral:precursor_RNA from 8 species